rnacentral:rRNA from 1 species
GACGAACGCUGGCGGCGUGCUUAACACAUGCCAGUCGAACGGAAAGGCCCUGCUUUUGUGGGGUGCUCGAGUGGCGAACGGGUGAGUAACACGUGAGUAACCUGCCCUUGACUUUGGGAUAACUUCAGGAAACUGGGGCUAAUACCGGAUAGGAGCUCCUGCUGCAUGGUGGGGGUUGGAAAGUUUCGGCGGUUGGGGAUGGACUCGCGGCUUAUCAGCUUGUUGGUGGGGUAGUGGCUUACCAAGGCUUUGACGGGUAGCCGGCCUGAGAGGGUGACCGGCCACAUUGGGACUGAGAUACGGCCCAGACUCCUACGAGAGGGAGCAGUGGAAAGUAUUGCACAAUGGGCGGAGGCCUGAUGCAGCAACGCCGCGUGCGGGAUGACGGCCUUCGGGUUGUAAACCGCUUUCGCCUGUGACGAAGCGUGAGUGACGGUAAUGGAUAAAGAAGCACCGGCUAACUACGUG